GAUGAACGCUGGCGGCGUGCCUAAUACAUGCAAGUCGAGCGGACGGACGCGAAGCUUGCUUCUUUCAUGUUAGCGGCGGGCGGGUGAGUAACACGUGUAUAACCUCCCUAUAAGACGGGGAAAACUUGGGGAAACCGGCGAAAAUACCGGAUAAUAUUCUGAACCGCGUGGUUCAAAGGAGAAAUACGGCCUUGCUGGCACUUCUCGAUGGAUCUGAGCUGCAUUAGCUAGUUGGUACGGUAAAGGCUUACCAAGGCAACGAUGCAUAACCGACCUGAGAGGGUGAUCGCCGACCCUGGAACUGGGACACCGUCCAUGCUACUACGGGAGGCAGCAGUAGGCAAUCUUCCGCAAUGGUCGAAAGCCUUACGGAGCAGCCCCGCGUGAGAUAUGAAGGUCUUCCGUUCGUAAUGCUCUGUUAUUAGUGAAGAACAGAUGUGUAAGGAACUGUGCACAUCUUGACGGUACUUGAUCAGAAAGCCACGGCUAACUACGUG
rnacentral:rRNA from 1 species